rnacentral:lncRNA from 1 species
GGGAGACGCAUUCCGUGUACUAAUAAGGCGUCUGGAAAAAUGGAAUUACAGUGUGCAGGAAUCCCAUGACCCUCUGCAGCUCCAGCCAUGGCAUGGUUGCUGUUAAAAAUGUUACAGCUUUAAUAUAUCCAGAAUAUAUUUUCCUGUUGCAAGAAUGGAAGCUUUCAUCCUUUCUCUUCAUCAUCAACUACUCAAAAUACGAAAUCAUUACAUAACACCUAUUUAAGUUUCUACUAUGUGUCACAUCCAACCAUCCAUCUACGCAUCCAUCUGGGCCAGAAAUUCUAGUCAGCCAUGAGGCUCAUUGCCUACCCUUGGUGCAGAGGCCAGCUCCAGUCCAGGAGUUUCAUCCUUAGCCUCAAGACCCUCUCCCCCAACCCUUCAUUACUCCUUGCUCUGGACCACAGGGUCUUGCUCUGUUCAAGCUAGAGUGUGGUGGUGUGAUCAUAGCUUACUGCAGCCUCAAACUCCUAGACUGAAACCAUCCUCUCACCUCAGGUUUCCAAGUAGGUGGGAACACAGAAGGCCCCCAGGUCCUGCUUCUGCCUUGUCCAUUGUAACUGAGAUCAAAGCCUUCAAGCAGAUAACUGGAGCUCACCCUGCCUGCUGGAUACCUGCUUGCUGUUUCCCAAUACCUCAUAGUUAGACGACGCAUCUUACUAAAGUGAAACAUUCUGUAUCCCUUCAUGAGAACACUCUAGAAAAAUCUAACAAGAGAAGUUUUCCUCUUACUUUUAAAAAACAAGCCUGUCAUUUCUUAAUUUUCUCCCUGGUCCAUUUUCCACCGAUUGUCUUGCUCGGAGUAGCUCUAAGCACUCAAAUAAAGCUCACCAGUAGGGGUAGAUUUGUGAAAUUUCUACAAGCUUCCUCACAGCUUUAUCCUGCUCCUGUCAGCCAUUUCUGCAAGAAAAUGGAUGUUUAAUCAGUGCAAGAGUGCAGUUUAUUAGUCUGGCUCCUCAGCCAUCACCUCCAUUCAGGCUCGAGGAAGACUACAGAAAGAAACCCACAGUGCUGCCAGUGACUGCCCAGGAUGCAGGAAUUUCAACACGAAGCAGCACCUUUAUGAACCAAGCACAGUAUUUAUCUCAAUAUAGCUUUGACUGUAUGGUAAUAAGUAAAUUAUUUCUAAACAUUUGUGACUGAAGAUUGGUACAUGGAAAUGUUUGUGAAAUUAUCUUUUUGAGAGAAUAUCUUAAAAAUUAUUUAGUUCACAAAAUGGAAGAUUGAGGGCAAGUUUAAUAGAAAUGUGAGAACAGCAGUAUCAGCAUCUUUCCUGUUACUCUUCUGAGUCGGAAGGGAGAGAAUGAGCUAAAAUUGUUGCAGAAGGAAUUUGGUGUUGACUUUGGGAAGAAUUUUCUGCUAAUACGUUGAAGUGCUGGAUAACCUUACAGAAGGAGCUUCUGGGUUUCAUUCUACCAACAUCUACUGAACACCUUCUGGAGAUUUUCUGGUUUGUGUCUAAUUCUGUCCUACAGCUAAAUUGGGAAGAUUUCACCCAAAUGCUUUUCCAGAGUCUGGUUUUCCUAAAUUGAAGUGUUGCUAUCUCUUUUUUCAAACUUAACUUUUCUUUUUAUUCUCAGCCACCUAUGAAAUUUCCCUGGGCCAAGGCCUGGAGCCUGCCAUAUGCACACAAAAAAAAGUUUUAAAAAUGAAG